rnacentral:rRNA from 1 species
UACGGGGGGGGCAAGCGUUGUUCGGAAUUAUUGGGCGUAAAGGGCUUGUAGGCGGCUUACUAAGUCAUACGUGAAAUCCCCAGGCUCAACUUGGGAACUGCGUCUGAUACUGGAUGGCUUGAAUUCGGGAGAGGGAUGCAGAAUUCCAGGUGUAGCGGUGAAAUGCGUAGAUAUCUGGAGGAAUACCGGUGGCGAAGGCGGCAUCCUGGACCGAUAUUGACACUGAGGAGCGAAAGCCAGGGGAGCAAACGGG